UCCUAGCUUCAUUGUCCCAGAAGGAAGUUGCUAGGCAGGGUCUGGGGACAGGGCUGACCUCAGAUCUAUCCCAGCCACUGCCCUCUGUGACCCUAGGCAAUGUAUUUUGUCUGUUCUGUGCUUCGGUACAAAGGGAAGAAUGAGACUCCCUCCUUCCAUCUUGAAGAGACUUUGAAAAGAACAAAUAAUGGUAAACAGACCGAGGGGAAUAAAUAAAUAACAACCAGUGAUUUACCAAACAGCACACAAUUAUCUAAUUACAGAGCAGGGAAGCAAAAGAAAAGCCUAGGGAGGUGGAGAUACAGACAGCAUGAAGGUGUGGGCUGCCGAGGGACUAGAAGGAACGAAGAUUUAUUAGCAGGAGAGACAAACUUACCCCUCUUUCCCUCCUCUCAACCGUGUUUGCUUCUGACUUCUAGAUAGUCAAGGGGGGAGGGCGGUCUACACGGUUUCUUCACCCCGAUGUGGGAGGAAUGGGCCUGAGGGAUUGUUCUCUAAGAUGUGAACUGUUAGAAGCUGGCACCUUGUGAUACUUCUCCGUGUACCUUGCAAGGCACAGGCAUCAUCGACGACGACCGUGGACCAAGUUGCCAAGGGAACUUGGCAGUCAUUUGCCGAGUACUCCUGAGCCAGACUGGUGGGCAUGUGUCCCCUAGAAGCCCUGUAGCCUGAGGAGAAGUUCUCGUGUGGUGUCUGUUUCAUCGUGAUCAGGACCCGUCUCUGGAAGCUACCUGUUUUUCCACAUUAUCAAAAUAAAGAAGAUGACUGCCAUCCUUUCGUAUGCACAGUCGGUCAGCCACGUGGACUGGUUAGACACACACAGGUUGAUCAGCACAUAGAGAUCAAUCAGCUCAUAUGGAUUGAUCAGUGCAUAGAGACUGAUCAGACCGCUGUAUUUUAUGGGAAGGAAACGGACUACAGAAGAAGUGAAGAGACACUCAGGGUCACGUGGCUAUUAGGUAGCAGCAACCUGGCCACUUAUAUUAUGGAGGACCGAUCUACGAUAAUUGUCAAAUCAGAGUUACAGAGAAAAUGCCACAAACUUUCCAAUUAGGAACCCGGAAGUGGUGCUGGGGUGGAGUCAAGUUGAUCUUCCUGCCCUUUUGAUAGCCAAACGCUCUGCUUGGAUCAACAUUGGUUCACCUUCCAGUGGCUUCUUCUACUCAACUUGGGAUUACACACCCUGUGUUCAGAGUUCAUAGACCUGGCUGGGCUUGCUGAAGAGCAUCUGCUCUCUGCAGUUCUGCGACACCAGACAGAAGAUUCUGGCCUAGCACUCCUUGGUUCUGAAGGAUAAGGGGAGGCCCUUUGGUGAGAAGACCAGUCUUGGAUUUCUGGUUUCUCUGAGAGAGAGAGAGAGAGAGAGAGAGAGAGAGAGAGAGAGAGAGGCAGAGGCCCUCUCUGCUGGGUUUACAAAGUGACCCCAGAAGCCCUGUUAGCACACACAUGUUGCUCACCUGUAGUUUUUGGUUAAACCCUCCAAAGAUACAGGACACCAUUUUGGGUGCAACAGGGGACUCACGGGGCCAAAACAGAUACAAACCUUCCGUCCCAUGGGUUAGGAUUGGGAGAAAGACAAAUACCUGAGAGUAUCUGCUGCUCAUAUGAAAGGGACUAUGUGUACACACACGGGUGAUGGGAUGGCCUUUGGCCAAAAGCAACACAACUCUGACCUGACAGACUUGUAAGAUGGGCUGCUCACGUAUACCUCAGCCCACGCUGAGGUCACAAGGACCUGUACCCCUGACGGUCCUGGGAAAGGAAGGUCUGUAGUCUCUGGAGAAAAUUCAGUGGGGCACAGAAGGAGAGGAGGAGGAGAGGGACGGGGAGGGAGAGGCCCACCUUGCAAAUCCCUCCUCCGCCCCUCCCUCCCUUCCCCCACCUCCCUCCACCCCCACUUCAAGACAGAAGAG